rnacentral:rRNA from 1 species
GACGAACGCUGGCGGCGUGCUUAACACAUGCAAGUCGAACGGAAAGGCCCUGCUUUUGUGGGGUGCUCGAGUGGCGAACGGGUGAGUAACACGUGAGUAACCUGCCCUUGACUUUGGGAUAACUUCAGGAAACUGGGGCUAAUACCGGAUAGGAGCUCCUGCUGCAUGGUGGGGGUUGGAAAGUUUCGGCGGUUGGGGAUGGACUCGCGGCUUAUCAGCUUGUUGGUGGGGUAGUGGCUUACCAAGGCUUUGACGGGUAGCCGGCCUGAGAGGGUGACCGGCCACAUUGGGACUGAGAUACGGCCCAGACUCCUACGGGAGGCAGCAGUGGGGAAUAUUGCACAAUGGGCGGAAGCCUGAUGCAGCAACGCCGCGUGCGGGAUGACGGCCUUCGGGUUGUAAACCGCUUUCGCCUGUGACGAAGCGUGAGUGACGGUAAUGGGUAAAGAAGCACCGGCCAACUACG